rnacentral:rRNA from 1 species
GACGAACGCUGGCGGCGUGCUUAACACAUGCAAGUCGAACGAAGUGGCGAACGGGUGAGUAACGCGUAAUACACCUGCCCUUCAGAGGGGGACAAAAGUUGGAAACGACUGCUAAUACCGCAUACUGAAGGAGGGGAUUGCGUUUGAUUGGCUAGUUGGAGGGGUAACGGCGCACCAGGGCCAUGAUCAGUAGCCGACCGGAGAGGAUGAACGGCCACAUUGGGACGGAGACACGGCCCAGACUCCUACGGGAGGCAGCAGUGGGGAAGCUUCCGCAAUGGACGAAAGUCUGACGGAGCAACGCCGCGUGAGUGAUGACGGCUUUCGGGUUGUAAAGCUCUGUUGUUCGGGACGCGGUACCGAAAUAGAAAGCCACGGCUAACUACGUGCCAGCCGCCGCGGUAAUAC